UUGAAGCAUAACGCUGAUCCUACCAGAGCUGCCUUGGGGAUUCUCUUUUCAGGAUCAAACGGUGCUUCACUAAAGAGAAGCUUUGAGUAAAGGGCUCAGUCAGAGACCAAUGAAGAGCUGACAGAGGUGCCUGGUUGAAAAUUUGUUAAUGACUUCAGCAGAGUGGCCAAGGGCUGGCAAAGCCCAAUUCCCUUCUCAUCCUGGGAGGCAGCCUCUCUGGCUCAGGCUGGCCUACGAACUGGCAACGGGCUGCAGAGCCCCUCCCUGUCAGGCAGAUGACUUGAUCCCCAGUGACAAAAGUCCUCAUCAGCCUGUGGUAGGCCAGGGCCUGUGUGAGAUGGAAAAACUGAGGCACAGAGUGAGGAAGUGGAUUACCUGAGGUCACCCAGAAACCAAUAGCAGAGCAGGGAAUAGAAUCUAAAUGUGAAAUUCAAGCUUCGUCUGUCUUGAUUUUCUUGGACAACUCUAUGGACAGCUGAAGAAAUAGUUGUUUUGUAACUUCAUAAGAGACAGAAACUGAAGAAACUGAGAGAAAAGGGCUGUUUAGUUGGCUGUUUAAAAUGGAGUCUUUUUGUUGUUGCUUUUGUUAACACCAAUCUUAUGUACCUAAAGCUGCUGGGGGAAAAAAAGCUGUUUUUGUGAAAAAUAAAAAAACAAAAAACAAAACCCCUCAACAUCAAAAACCAAAACAAACUUCACUUUAGGGCCAUUUUAAAUUCUUCCAGCAAAAUGAAAGAAGUCAAGAAUCACUAUUUCUACCAUGAGGAAACAAGCAGGAAACUCCCUUUGUUUCUGAGGCUUUGAUUUUGUAUGCUAAUUAAACAAAGGGCAUGGGCCUUUGUA